CGGUGUCUAGCUCAUCGGCAGAGCGCCCGUGUGAAAAACGGGAGAAUCUCGGUUCGACUCCCUGGGGCACCGGCCA
rnacentral:tRNA from 1 species